AACACCACCCGGACUGAAGGUGGAACGAAUGCGCUGAGUAACUUCAGUGUGUACGCGCUUACUUCCCAAAAACAGGUGGAGGAUUCUCAGCCUUGACUCCUGCUCACACGUCCCUCUCAGAUGGCACAGAUGGGUGGUAGCGCUGCCAGCACCACGUUGGAAAGGCUAUGGUUCAUUAGCGUCAUAUUAACACCUUCAGCUAUUUCCUGCAGUUCUGCCAGUUCUCUCCAAUCUUACUGCAAACCACACCGGGUGCUGGCCAGAGUUUGAAGAGAUAAUUCCAGCAAUGAGCAUAUUGGAGUAGCCAAGACACAGCUGCUCGAAACAGCAUCAUGCACCAGUUAUAUCUGCAGUGAAAAAAGAACUCCAAGAAAGCUACUGAGGACAGCUGCAAGUCAGUCCCCCUCAGGGGUCAUCAGUUUUUUGUCAUCUUCUGUAAGCUAACCCUGGGCAUGGCUUUAGAAGAUGAUUAAACCAAAGAUCUGUGUGUCAUUACUUCUUCUCCAACACCAGCUGCACCUUUUUAUCCAUGAAAGCCCCCAGAUUCAUGAUCCACAAUAGAAGCCUUCCUAUCUCUGGUAUUUCCUUGGCGUGCUGGUUACAAUCCCUUCUCCUGACCCAUUUCUAAACUGUCUUUGUUUAAAGAUUCUUAAUCUUUUCUGGAACUGCAUAAACAGAAGCAUGGAUCACCAGCUUGUGAACUAUGGCAGACCAAAGGCCUUUCAGUAUUCUCUCCAGCAAGUCUUCCACAGAGCUAUAAAG